CUGCCCUCAAGCGCGGCUUGUGUGUUGGGCGUGGUCCCCCUAGUGAUAGGGGGACCUGCCCGAAAGGCAGCGGCGACGUUCCGCCUAGGUCCUCGAGCGUAUGGGGCUUUGUCACCCGCUCGGGAGGGACCUGCGGGCGUUGGUCACCCACUAUUUUUCCAC
rnacentral:misc_RNA from 1 species